GACCUGAUUAUUACAGCUGCUGUGUCCUCCAGCAUGGACAGCCAAUCGCAAGCUCUAAUCCAAGAUAUUGAUGGUCUGCCCGUCUCUUCAGUAACCAUUCAAGUGAAGGUGAAGGCCUGUUGUGUUGUGCAGUCCUCUAAGCUGACCGUCAGCAUUCAGCCUCCUCUGGCCGUCACUCAGGAUCAGUUUGUUCUGGAGCCCAUGGGUCAGUCCAAAGCAGCUUUUUUGUCUGUGUGUGUGUGCUUGUAUAUUUUUUUAAAAUUUGUUUCACUUUGUCCUCGUUAUUGUACACUCUACUGUAUUUAUAAGCCAACAAUACAGACGCCCAGAUUAUGCACCAUUUUAACUAUCAAAGUGGAGAUGGACAC